GACGAACGCUGGCGGCGUGCCUAAUACAUGCAAGUCGAACGAGAGCAACCGGUGCUUGCACUGGUCAAUCUAGUGGCGAACGGGUGAGUAACACGUGGGUAACCUGCCCAUCAGAGGGGGAUAACAUCCGGAAACGGAUGCUAAAACCGCAUAGGUCUUCGAACCGCAUGGUUUGAAGAGGAAAAGAGGCGCAAGCUUCUGCUGAUGGAUGGACCCGCGGUGCAUUAGCUAGUUGGUGAGGUACGGCUCACCAAGGCCGUGAUGCAUAGCCGACCUGAGAGGGUGAUCGGCCACAUUGGGACUGAGACACGGCCCAAACUCCUACGGGAGGCAGCAGUAGGGAAUCUUCCGCAAUGGACGCAAGUCUGACGGAGCAACGCCGCGUGAGUGAAGAAGGUUUUCGGAUCGUAAAACUCUGUUGUUAGAGAAGAACAAGUGCUAGAGUAACUGUUAGCGCCUUGACGGUAUCUAACCAGAAAGCCACGGCUAACUACGUG
rnacentral:rRNA from 1 species